GUCAUGGCCAUUGUUUCCUCAUUCUUCUUUAAUGCAUAUAUGAUUACACAGCUCAAUUAAGACCUCAAUACAAGCAAGACUGGGCAAAGAGAAAAAAAAAUCUCUUGUUGAGCCUGCAAAUGAAUAAUAUCAAAGGACACCUCUCCUGUGCCAUCCUGGUCUGAUGAAGGAACCACCUUAUGAGACCCCCUGCGACUGCGUGGGGCGCCAGCAC